AUAGUACUCCCUCAGUCCGGAAAUACUUGUCGCAUAAAUGGAUAGAAAUUGAUGCAUCUAGAACUAAAAUACGUCUAGAUACAUCCAUUUCUCCGACAAGUAUUUCCGGACGGAGGGAGUAUAUC
rnacentral:pre_miRNA from 1 species